GGGGAUUAGCUCAGUUGGUUAGAGCGUUUGCUUGACAUGCAAAAGGUCGGUGGUUCGAGUCCACUAUCUC
rnacentral:tRNA from 1 species